UACAGAGGGGGCAAGCGUUGUUCGGAUUUACUGGGCGUAAAGGGCGCGUAGGCGGCGCAACAAGUCACUUGUGAAAUCUCCGGGCUUAACCCGGAGCGGCCAAGUGAUACUGUCGUGCUAGAGUGCGGAAGGGGCUACUGGAAUUCUCGGUGUAGCGGUGAAAUGCGUAGAUAUCGAGAGGAACACCUGCGGCGAAGGCGGGUAGCUGGGCCGACACUGACGCUGAUGCGCGAAAGCCAGGGGAGCGAACGGG
rnacentral:rRNA from 1 species